rnacentral:misc_RNA from 1 species
GCUACAGAUCGAGAAGGGCUUCCACGGUUCGCCGUCGGGGGCCUUUUUCUUUUGCGGUU